ACCUCCUCUCCAUCUCUCUCUACUUUCUCUCUCUACCGCUCCUCGUGACGUCGCGUGCCCACGUCUCCCACGCCCCCCCGUCCCUCCUCCUCCAGAUCCGGUCUCCCCAGCCGCCGCCGAUGUCCGAAGAUCUAGCGGGAUCCCGCCGCUGGCGGUGCGACCUCUGCGGCGAUGACCGCUGGCUGUCGGGGGCCGCCGGCGACGACCACUUCGACCGCCUCCCCGACGCGCUCCUCCUCGUCAUCUUCAACCGCAUCGGCGACGUCAAGGCGCUCGGCCGCUGCUCCAUCGUCUCCCGCCGCUUCCACGAGCUCGUCCCCCUCGUCGACUCCGUCCUCGUCCGCGUCGACUGCGUCAUCCCCGACGAGCCCCCCUCCUCCUCCUCGCCGUCCGCGCCGUCCUCCCCCACGGCCUCUGUACGCGCCCGCGGGGUCUUCUCACAGAUCGCGCGCAUCGUGCUCGGCGGCAUCGUGAAGCCCAUCCAGGCGCUCGGCCAGAUCCUCUCACCGGCCCACUCUGCCUCCGGCUUUUCGGCAUCCUCCGCUUCCUCGUCGUCAUCUUUCCCCCCAUCUUCGACGUCGUACUCGCCGUUGCCUCCUGGGGACGUAUCGCACCACUCGCCCUCGGAGGUGCUCCGCUCCUUCAAGGAGCUCCGCCACCUUCGCAUUGAGCUUCCGGCGGGCGAGCUUGGCACGGACGACGGCGUGAUGCUCAAGUGGAAGGCUGACUUCGGGUCCACGCUCGGCAGCUGCGUCAUCCUCGGCGCAUCCUCGGCCUCGCCGUCCCCUGCUGGCUCAGAUGGCGCGAGCACAGCUCCCUCUGUUGACAGUGGCCGCAGCGAGCCCGAGGAAUGUGACGAUUCAGGAAGCAUCCCAGAAUCGUUCUAUACAAAUGGGGGGCUGAGGCUGCGGGUGGUGUGGACAAUCAGCUCGCUGAUUGCAGCAGCAGGGAGGCAUUACUUGCUGCAGCCAAUCGUUGCUGACCACACAACGCUGGAAAGAUUGGACCUGACGGACGCAGAUGGGCAGGGAGUGCUCACCAUGGACAAGUGCCAACUGCAGGAGCUGCGGGUGAGACCGGUAUCAUCAUCUGCAGCCUCGCACCGGACCCUCAUGCCGGAGCUUAGCAUGUGGUUGUGGUACGCACCAUGCAUUGAGCUGCCUGGGGGGUUGGUGCUAAAUGGUGCGACUUUGGUGGCCAUCAAGCCGAGUGAGGAGGCUACAAGGGACAUGGUAGGGAAUGGGGCUGCUACGGCAGCCUGGGUUUUAGAUGCAUUCGAGGAGCCAUACCGGACAGCAGCGAGGAUGCUUCUCAAGCGGAGGACUUACACCCUUGAGAUGAAUUCAUUCUAAUCCAUAGAGGUGGCAUUUGGAAGCUUCAUAUAUGAGAGUUUACUCAGGUGGAACUAAGUUUUGGGCGGUCAGGACUCAGGACUGUUGCUACCUGGACACCCAUGUUCCUUUUUUUUCCAAGUCUUGCCAAGCACCUUUGUCAGAUUUUAAGUGGAUGUUAUACCUACAAGGGUCAUUUCUGGCUGCCUUUUUAUACCCCAAUCUGCACCUAUUUUGGAUGUGCUCCAAUUGUGAUGGAUGCAUUCCUUUCCGUGCUGCACAUCUGCCAGCAUUCCAGCAAGAACAUGGAUGGAAAUGAAGAGAAUCCAGGCGUUAAUUUAUCGAUGCUGGAGUAGAGAGGCAAGCUUGAGCUGAUGGUGUUUGCGCUGAGGGAGCUCCCUUAUCACUGAGAUCAGAUGUGGUGGCAUAGAUAUUUUUUUUCUUAUAGGUAUCCACAUCAAGGGACUAACCUUAUGUAAUUUCUGCUUUGGAUCGCACUGCUUGUUUGCAUAAUAGCAUCCGAUGUGCCCUGUAAAUCAACAUGUAUCAUGAGUGUACUCAUAGAUUGGACUGGAGUUAGCGAAAGCUGAAAACUGGUGAUACUACUUAAAAAGGAUUUGCAAGUGUUUUAGACUUGUAUCGUAAUA